GAGUGGAUCAAGCGUCCACCCAUGGAACCAGAGAUGAAGUCAGCCCCUUCUAAACUACAUUGAACUGGACUAAGUGUGAUCCUCUAAAAGAAAAUUGCAAUACCCCAUCCAAAAGAAGAGAUUUGCUGUAAAGGUUAAGAUCAUACACAUCCUCCUGCACCCUGCAAAGAGGAGAUCCCAGACCACCACCCAUGAUCCCAGGCUGGAGGAAGCAGCAGGCUAGCGGAAUUCAGGACCAAUGAGCCAGGAAAGAGGACCCAAUGCAGAGCUCACAUCCCACCCUCCUUCCCCCAUGACAAAGCACUGGCAAACCCUGCCAAAGAAGAAGCUUGGCUGCAAAGCAGUCUGGAACUGGACCCGGGAUAGAUUCACCAGGAGCUCACCACCACAGGGAAUGCUGCACUUUGACUGGACAGAAUGCAUCCUCCAUGCCCACAGAGCAUGUGCCCAGGAUGAAUCUCACUGUAUCCCAGUUCCUCAUGCUUGGCCCCAAACCUCUUUUUCACAGUAAUAAAGAAAACACACUUUACAAAAA
rnacentral:lncRNA from 1 species